rnacentral:rRNA from 1 species
UACGUAGGGUGCAAGCGUUGUCCGGAAUUAUUGGGCGUAAAGAGCUCGUAGGCGGUCUGUCACGUCGGCUGUGAAAACCCGAGGCUCAACCUCGGGCCUGCAGUCGAUACGGGCAGACUAGAGUUCGGUAGGGGAGACUGGAAUUCCUGGUGUAGCGGUGAAAUGCGCAGAUAUCAGGAGGAACACCGGUGGCGAAGGCGGGUCUCUGGGACGGUACUGACGCUGAGACGCGAAAGCCAGGGGAGCGAACGGG